rnacentral:tRNA from 1 species
GUCUCUGUAGUAUAUUAAUUACACUGGUCUUGUAAACCAGAGAAGGAGAAAAAUAUUCUCCCAAAGA